GAUGAACGCUGGCGGCGUGCCUAAUACAUGCAAGUCGAGCGAACGGACGAGAAGCUUGCUUCUCUGAUGUUAGCGGCGGACGGGUGAGUCACACGUGGAUAACCUACCUAUAAGACUGGGAUAACUUCGGGAAACCGGAGCUAAUACCGGAUAAUAUUUUGAACCGCAUGGUUCAAAAGUGAUAGACGGUCUUGCUGUCACUUAUAGAUGGAUCCGCGCUGCAUUAGCUAGUUGGUAAGGUAACGGCUUACCAAGGCAACGAUGCAUAGCCGACCUGAGAGGGUGAUCGGCCACACUGGAACUGAGACACGGUCCAGACUCCUACGGGAGGCAGCAGUAGGGAAGCUUCCGCAAUGGGCGAAAGCCUGACGGAGCAACGCCGCGUGAGUGAUGAAGGGCUUCGGAUCGUAAAACUCUGUUAUGAGGGAAGAACAUAUGUGUAAGUAACUGUGCACAUCUUGACGGUACCUAAGCAGAAAGCCACGGCUAACUACGUG
rnacentral:rRNA from 1 species